UAGGGAAUCUUCCACAAUGGACGCAAGUCUGAUGGAGCAACGCCGCGUGAGUGAAGAAGGUUUUCGGACCGUAAAGCUCUGUUGUUGGUGAAGAAGGAUAGGGGUAGUAACUGGCCUUUAUUUGACGGUAAUCAACCAGAAAGUCACGGCUAACUACGUGCCAGCAGCCGCGGUAAUACGUAGGUGGCAAAGCGUUGUCCGGAUUUAUUGGGCGUAAAGCGAGCGCAGGCGGAAGAAUAAGUCUGAUGUGAAAGCCCUCGGCUUAACCGAGGAAUUGCAUCGGAAACUGUUUUUCUUGAGUGCAGAAGAGGAGAGUAGAACUCCAUGUGUAGCGGUGGAAUGCGUAGAUAUAUGGAAGAAUACCAGUGGCGAAGGCGGCUCUCUGGUCUGCAACUGACGCUGAGGCUCGAAAAGCAUGGGUAGCGAACAGGAUUAGAUACCCUGGUAGUCCAUGCCGUAAAACGAUGAGUGCUAAGUGUUGGGAGGCUU
rnacentral:rRNA from 1 species